rnacentral:lncRNA from 1 species
GGGAAGCUGUGUAUUUACAUCAGCCCUUCCACUGAACUCACCCAGUCCAGCUGUACCAUUUACAUUCAUCCUGCACCUUUGGUUUUUUUCUCUCUGCUCUUGGGUAAAGUCAAUUCUAGAAGAAAACUUCUUGCUGAGGCAAAUUCCACCAGCACAGAAAAGGACACGGUGUGUGAUUUCAACAGAAAAUGAGAUUGCACUUCUUGUGCAGGCUGGAAGUCCUCACCUUAACCUCAUGCUAAUCUAGAAACAAAAGACUUCUUACAGGAAAAAAAAAAUAUAAAUAAAAUAGACUCUACUACAAACCGAGCCUGUUUAUUCUGAAGUUGUCUAUCAGUGGCUAACUCCAGACCCAAUCUCACGGGUAAAUAUUUGCAGAACCAUUUGAAUGAUGAAGGGCUUUUAUUACCUGGGAGAGUUUCCUGCUCCUUGCCUUGGAAAGGCUCCCCUGGAUGUGCAGGGUGGCCCCAGCUCCCUGCCUGGAGUGUCCCAGCUGGGAAGGAGCUGAGGAGCAGCCGGGGUGAUGCUCAAGAUUGCAGAGCUGCUGCCAGAGGGACACGGAGGAGCCUCCAAAGAACUUCCUGGUGGAUGCCUGAGCAAAGGUAAAGCUCCUUUUGUGUCCUUUCCAUUUCCAUCCAUUCCUGGGUUCUGCUCUUCUGUUGGGCCAGAACAACCUGGCAGCAGCCAGCUUGGCUGGAUUGUGUCUUAAUCACUGCAUAAAUCCAGCUGAUUUCAUCCUAAUUUGACCCAAACUGAUGUGUCUCUACCCAUAAAGAGUGAAUUUAUUUAUUCCCUGGUACACUCUUUUCCAUUUUUUUCUCCACACCAACAGCCUUGUCUCUGUGACUGGUUUUUUAUUCCUCUUCUAAUAAUUUCUAUAUUUUCAUGUUGUGUGCUCAAGUCUGUGAAGGUUUGUCUCUUUUUCUCCCUGCACUAGGGCAAAUCUACAUUUACAUCAGCCCUUUCACUGAGCUCUCCCAGUCUGGUUGUACCAUUUACAUUCAUCCUCCACCUUUGUUUUUUUUUCUCUCUGCUCUUGGGUAAAGUGAAUUGUAGAAGAAAACUUCUUGCUGAGGCAAAUUCCCUCAGCACAGCACAGGAAAGGACAGGGACACUCAUCUCACGUUUGUUCUGGGUGCUCUGUCAGUGUGAUGGGAAUACUUGUUUUUAAAUCAUGACUAUUUGUUUAUAAACCAUGAAUAUUUGCUUUUAAAUAAUAUUUCAUGUGUGUGCUAUGUGGUGGCUCAAAACUGGUCCUCAGAGGGUUAGGCUCACUUGCUCAAAUAUAUAUUUUUUAUUUGUUGUGAUAUAAAUUUAUAUAAAAAAUAAUAGAAUGGAACUUUUUCAUGUUCAGAACAAUUCAUCCUUUAGGAUAUUUUCUGUGUCCAUCUCCAGCUGUUUAUUUUGGGGGUCAUGGUUCCAUCAACAAGGGAUGAUAAUGUGGCCAAUGGACAUUUCCAAACCUUCCACCACAUCUAGAGAGGUUCAGUCAUUUCUCUCCCACUGAAGAAUCCUGGAAUGAAUGGGAGUAUUGGUGGUAUAAAUUAGUAUUUAUUGGAAUAUUGUCAGUACGGGUCCAAGUGACCCUGGAAAUGUAAAUCAUAGCACAGGAAAAAUAAACAAAGAGUUGUCUGAUUCGAGGAAAUGGAA